rnacentral:rRNA from 1 species
GACGAACGCUGGCGGCGUGCUUAACACAUGCAAGUCGAACGAUGAGGCCGGAGCUUGCUCUGGUGAAUUAGUGGCGAACGGGUGAGUAACACGUGAGUAACCUGCCCUUGACUCUGGGAUAACUGCGGGAAACUGUAGCUAAUACCGGAUACGACCCUCGGAGGCAUCUCCUGGGGGUGGAAAGAAUUUCGGUCAAGGAUGGACUCGCGGCCUAUCAGCUAGUUGGUGAGGUAAAGGCUCACCAAGGCGACGACGGGUAGCCGGCCUGAGAGGGGGACCGGCCACACUGGGACUGAGACACGGCCCAGACUCCUACGGGGGGCAGCAGUGGGGAAUAUUGCACAAUGGGCGCAAGCCUGAUGCAGCAACGCCGCGUGAGGGAUGACGGCCUUCGGGUUGUAAACCUCUUUUAGCAGGGAAGAAGCGAAAGUGACGGUACCUGCAGAAAAAGCACCGGCUAACUACGUGCCAGCCGCCGCAGUAA